UUUCAAUGUUUGUGGAUCUCAAGGACCUGUGAUUUUGCAUGGAAACUGGGAAGCUGUGGAGCCCCCCAUCUGCCCUCUGGUGACAAUGUGACAGUAAACAGUCCUGGGGGAAAGCUGGAAGACUGGAGUUUUACACACACAAGUGAGAAAGUGGAGUUGGCCUCAACUCAUGGAAGCCCCAGCUUUGGCCUGUGUCCUGGCUAUCCCUGAAUCCACAACGGUGCCAUGAGUUUGAUAGCAACUUUUGCCA